rnacentral:snRNA from 12 species
AUACUUACAUGGCAGGGGAGACAUCAUGAUCAGUCAGGUGGUUUUCCCAGGGCAAGGCUCAUCCCCUGCUCUCCGGGUGUGCUGUUUUUUAUAUUGGGUUUCUUUACAGUUGGACUAGAUGAUCAUUGUAGGUCACUUCCAACUGAACUACUC